rnacentral:antisense_RNA from 1 species
GAGGUCAGGUCCGCCUCAUCAGCUAUGAAGUCUGUGAAUCCUGGGAGAAUCAGGAAGUCGUCGUAGGUGAGGCAGUCGGCGCUGGCAAAGAGCUGCUGCGCGGGGAGCCAGUUAUCGGGCACAUAGUCGGUGCCGCCCCUGAUCAGCCAUGUGAAGACCAUGAUUGCUUUCCCUUCAGCCUUCCACCUUUGUAAGUUUCCUGAGGCCUCCCCAGAAGCAGAAGCCUGCAUAGUCUGCAGAACUGAUUUUAGAAUGCCAAGCUGACAUUUUGAGUUGUUAUGAGAAACCAGAAAAUUUGGUGUGAAGACCCUAAGUGGUGCGUCUGACUUACAGCAGGCCCACACUGCUGAUUUAUGGUGUACCAGUGGAAGACAGGAGAGACAAAACCUGACAACCAGAAAAGAAAAAAAAAUAAAUUGAAGAAUCUUUCUAAUUUUCUGCUCAGCAGUGGCUAAUGUUGUUGUCCUCUUGUUGUUGAUUACUUCCAUCCACUCAAUUUGGCUGAUCUCCAGGGGGCCUACCCUUCUGUCCACUAAAACCUGGCAGCCUGUUUUUUGUUUUGUUUUGUUUUGUUUUAUCUUUAACUGAUGUGCUUUCAUUUUGUUUUAUUUUAUUUUGAUUGUUUUUCAUUUUGGGUGAGUUUACAGCACACUAAUACCAAAGAAAAUGAAUAAAGAAAACAUUAGAAUAAAACUAUGUUGGAGGAGAAGGGGAACAACAAACUCUACAGGAAUUCUGAUAGCUUUCUAUUUCCUUUUUUUGAAGUUUACUUUUUGUAAGUAGUAUUCUCAAUUGUAAAUCCACAAAAUAUU